AACGAACGCUGGCGGCAUGCCUAACACAUGCAAGUCGAACGCCCCGCAAGGGGAGUGGCGCACGGGUGAGUAACGCGUGGGAACCUGCCCCGGAGUGGGGGAUAACCCGGCGAAAGCCGGGCUAAUACCGCAUACGGCCUAUGGGCGAAAGAUUUAUCGCUCUGGGAGGGGCACGCGUCCGAUUGGCUAGUUGGUGAGGUAACGGCUCACCAAGGCGACGAUCGGUAGCUGGUCUGAGAGGAUGAUCAGCCACACUGGGACUGAGACACGGCCCAGACUCCUACGGGAGGCAGCAGUGGGGAAUAUUGGACAAUGGGGGCAACCCUGAUCCAGCAAUGCCGCGUGAGUGAUGAAGGCCUUAGGGUUGUAAAGCUCUUUCGGCGGGGACGAUGAUGACGGUACCCGCAGAAGAAGCCCCGGCUAAUUUCCUGCCAGCAGCCGCCGUAAUAC
rnacentral:rRNA from 1 species